rnacentral:rRNA from 1 species
GACGAACGCUGGCGGCGUGCCUAAUACAUGCAAGUUGAGCGAUGAAGAUUGGUGCUUGCACCAAUUUGAAGAGCAGCGAACGGGUGAGUAACGCGUGGGGAAUCUGCCUUUGAGCGGGGGACAACAUUUGGAAACGAAUGCUAAUACCGCAUAACAACUUUAAACAUAAGUUUUAAGUUUGAAAGAUGCAAUUGCAUCACUCAAAGAUGAUCCCGCGUUGUAUUAGCUAGUUGGUGAGGUAAAGGCUCACCAAGGCGAUGAUACAUAGCCGACCUGAGAGGGUGAUCGGCCACAUUGGGACUGAGACACGGCCCAAACUCCUACGGGAGGCAGAGUAGGGAAUCUUCGGCAAUGGACGAAAGUCUGACCGAGCAACGCCGCGUGAGUGAAGAAGGUUGUCGGAUCGUAAAACUCUGUUGGUAGAGAAGAACGUUGGUGAGAGUGGAAAGCUCAUCAAGUGACGGUAACUACCCAGAAAGGGACGGCUAACUACGUG